rnacentral:rRNA from 1 species
AGCCUGGCGUUGGUUGUCCAGGUGAAAGGAUGUAGGCAUGUAUCUUAGGCAAAUCCGGGGUACUCUAUGCUGAGAUCUGAUAGCAAGCUGUACUUGUACAGCGAAGUGGUUGAUGCCAUGCUUCCAGGAAAAGUCUCUAAGCUUCAGUUACACAGGAAUCGUACCCGAAACCGACACAGGUGGUCAGGUCGAGUAGACCAAGGCGCUUGAGAGAACUCUGCUGAAGGAACUAGGCAAAAUGGUACCGUAACUUCGGGAGAAGGUACGCUGUUGUUGGUGAUGGAACUCGCUUCCUGAGCUGACGACAGCCGCAGAAACCAGGCCGCUGCAACUGUUUAUUAAAAACAUAGCACUCUGCAAACACGAAAGUGGACGUAUAGGGUGUGAUGCCUGCCCGGUGCUGGAAGGUUAAUUGAUGGGGUUAGCGUAAGCGAAGCUCUUGAUCGAAGCCCCAGUAAACGGCGGCCGUAACUAUAACGGUCCUAAGGUAGCGAAAUUCCUUGUCGGGUAAGUUCCGACCUGCACGAAUGGCAUAAUGAUGGCGGCGCUGUCUCCAGCAGAGGCUCAGUGAAAUCGAAAUCGCUGUGAAGAUGCAGUGUACCCGCGGCUAGACGGAAAGACCCCGUGAACCUUUACUGCAGCUUGACACUGAACUUUGACCUUACUUGUGUAGGAUAGGUGGGAGGCUUUGAAGCUGGAACGCUAGUUCCAGUGGAGCCGUCCUUGAAAUACCACCCUGGUAAUGUUGAGGUUCUAACUCUGUCCCGUGAUCCGGGACGAGGACCGUGUCUGGUGGGUAGUUUGACUGGGGCGGUCUCCUCCUAAAGAGUAACGGAGGAGUACGAAGGUGCGCUCAGCGUGGUCGGAAAUCACGCGUAGAGUAUAAAGGCAAAAGCGCGCUUAACUGCGAGACCCACAAGUCGAGCAGGUACGAAAGUAGGUCUUAGUGAUCCGGUGGUUCUGUAUGGAAGGGCCAUCGCUCAACGGAUAAAAGGUACUCUGGGGAUAACAGGCUGAUACCGCCCAAGAGUUCAUAUCGACGGCGGUGUUUGGCACCUCGAUGUCGGCUCAUCUCAUCCUGGGGCUGAAGCAGGUCCCAAGGGUAUGGCUGUUCGCCAUUUAAAGAGGUACGCGAGCUGGGUUUAGAACGUCGUGAGACAGUUCGGUCCCUAUCUACCGUGGGCGCUGGAAAUUUGAGAGGAUCUGCUCCUAGUACGAGAGGACCAGAGUGGACGAACCUCUGGUGUACCGGUUGUGACGCCAGUCGCAUCGCCGGGUAGCUAUGUUCGGAAGGGAUAACCGCUGAAAGCAUCUAAGCGGGAAGCCUACCUCAAGAUAAGAUUUCCCUAGGACUUUAUGUCCUCUAAAGAGCCGUUCGAGACUAGGACGUUGAUAGGUUGGAUGUGGAAGCAUAGUGAUAUGUGAAGCUGACCAAUACUAAUUGCUCGUGAGGCUUGACUA